rnacentral:rRNA from 1 species
AUUGAACGCUGGCGGCAGGCCUAACACAUGCAAGUCGAGCGGAGCGGCGGACGGGUGAGGAAUGCCUAGGAAUCUGCCUGGCAGGGGGGGAGAACGUCCGGAAACGGGCGCUAAUACCGCAUACUAUCAGACGAGCCUAGGUCGGAUUAGCUAGUUGGUGGGGUAAAGGCCUACCAAGGCGACGAUCCGUAACUGGUCUGAGAGGAUGAUCAGUCACACUGGAACUAAGACAGGGUCCAGGCUCCCACGGGAGGCAGGAGUGGGUAAUAUUUAACAAUAGGCGAAGGCCUGAUCCAGUCAUACCGCGUGUGUGAACCAGGUCGUCGGAUUGUAAAGCACGUUAAGUUGAGAGGGGUUCCCCACCGAAUAAGCACCGGCUAACUUCAUGCCAGCGACCGCGGUAAUAC